rnacentral:lncRNA from 12 species
CCUCCCUAAUGAACGCUGCUAGUGAAUGAAUUCAGAAAGACAAGCCACAAUAAUGAAAAAUGUCAGUAUGAAGACAAAAAGGAAAAUAUAAGACAAUAUUAUAAAUGUUAAGUCUAAAAAUUAAAUUCCCCCUGUUGGAGGGCAAUCUGUCCCAUGCACAGAAUACACAGGGAGAGAAACAGCACCAGGGGAGCUCACCAUCCACGCCCCCAUGUCUUUCCUCAUCUCCGCCCUGUCCUUACCUGGGAUCCAGAGCAUCAGCAGCCCCAGGAGCUGAGAAGGGAACCUCAUCUUGAGAAGCUGAGCUGAGGAGCCCUAAUAAAGAUAGAUCGAUUGAUCGAUCGAUAGACACACACAUGUCAUGUGGUAUACAUGAGACCCUUCAUUACAACAGGGACAUAACCUGAUGAUUCUUCAUGUGUCCGCUUGACGUUAUGUCAUAUUGAGUCAUUUGUGAGAAUUGUGUCAACUUCAAAUUACCUACCAACUAAAGUCACUGUACUCAAACAAAAUCCUGGAGAAACUGAGAGCAUAGAGAUCGUAGUUCUAUCGAAUCAGGUAAUUAAAAGCCAAAGUCAUACUGAAUUGAAAAAUAACUGAUUAUGUACAAUUCCAGGCAUAAUUAUGCAAAAAAGCUCAGUGGCUGUAUCUUCGGAGAAAUCUUCCAAGAGUUAGAUUUUGUACUGAGAGUGAAAUAGCUAUUGUGUAAAAAUGGUAUGGAGAGCAAAUUGUGAACUCUGUGGAGAGUCUCAGGUGCUCAUGACAAAAUGAGAUAGAAGUAAGAGUAGAAUAGCCCAAAUUCCAUAAUAUCUUAGUUUUAAUUUUAUUACUUUUUCUUAUGUUUUCUUCCUUGAUCCAUCUUUAAGCUAACCAAUGCAAUCCUGAAUCUUCUUGAAAAUUCCAGCCUGUAUAAUGAACGUUGCUAGUGAAUGAAGUCAGAAAGAUAAUCCACAAUAAUGCAAAAUAUCAGGACAAAGACAAAAAGGAAAAUGCAAGACAGUAUUAUAAAUCUUAAAGUGAGCAUCAAAACUAUUCAUAACUCAUGUUAAAUGAAGAAAUACAUUAGGUAACACUAUUUGUCAACUGUACUACAAAAUGGAAUCACAUUACACAUUUUUUAAUGUGAAAGCUCAGUGUGUGGAAAUAUGGCUGCAAAUUAUUAAUCUGUCAUUUUUUUACUGUGUAUCAGUGUUGAAAUGUUUUUUUCCAAAUUAUUCCUUAGAAUGUUUGAAUUUGGAAUAUUACUAUUUGCUACAGAACUUAACAUGAAAACUUAAAAAGUCUUCUCUGCUUGGUUGCUUGUCUCAUACUUUUUUGCCCUAAAAUAUCUCGAAAAUGCAAAAUCUUAGAAAAAUUCUUUCUUGACAAUAAAGGCUUUGAAAUUUUCCUAUAUGACCUGUAG